rnacentral:rRNA from 1 species
CAAACGACUCUCGGCAACGGAUAUCUCGGCUCACGCAUCGAUGAAGAACGUAGCAAAAUGCGAUACUUGGUGUGAAUUGCAGAAUCCCGUGAACCAUCGAGUUUUUGAACGCAAGUUGCGCCCGAAGCCUUUUGGCCGAAGGCACGUCUGCCUGGGCGUCACAC